CCUAGCCUGAAAGGGCGGGUAUUGCUAAUGUGUUUUCAAAAGGUCUUCCCAAUCCUCUGCUUUAGAUAGAUCGGACCUUAGAUAGAAGAACACAACGGAUCCUCCAGUGACUGAUGACCCAAAGGACGGAUGAUGUCACAGUCAUCUGGAUCAGGAGAUGGGAGUGAUGAUAAGGCUAUUACCUCUAAAGACGGUGGCCUACUGAACAUCAGUCACACAGCAUGGUAAUAUGGUUGUUCCAAGGUAUCUGCAGGGAACUGGCUCCAGGAACCCUGCAGAUACCAAAAUCGGUGCAUAUUCAACUCCCACAGUCAGCUCUGCGGAACCCACAGAUACAAAAAUUGGCCUUCCCUUUACAGGUUUCCAAUCCUGCAAAUCCUGUAUUUUCCAUUCCUGCUUGAUUGCUGAUGUGGGACCUGCCCAUGCAGAGGGCCGACCGUAUUUAUUGAAAAAAUAUGUGUAUAAAUGGACCAUCACAGUUUAAACCCCAGUUGUUCAAGGGUCACCUGUAAACAGUUGCCUAAAUGGGCCAUGAUCUUUCUCAUGCUUCCAUGUCUCUGCACACACUGUUCCCCUUUUCAAGUAAUCCAUAGAUCUUUAGAUCUCACUGUCCUGAUACUACAAAUUUAGUUUGGAUUUGUAUGAUUAAUAUACAGAUUACAACAUUAAGCCCCCAUAUUGUGGACCAUAGAGAGUCCAUUCUUCCACCAGAUAGGAGGGUGCAUCCCUCGCCCUUGAGUAAUUUCCAGAAAUCCACAAGGUAUGCUUAAAUGUUACAAAAAUCAAUCCUAGUUGUCAUUUGUUAUCUCUGCCAGCUAUUCUUUCUGCAUACUGUCAUGGUCUGCCUUCAAUAAGUCACCACUUCCCAUCUUGAAACUUUUUUUAAAAAAACCUUUUAGUUUUUUUAAUUUUAAAAAUUUCUGCAAACACUAUGGCGACUUGUGUAAUUUUAGUACAUACAAAAGAUGUAUGAUGUGUAAUUUAUGGAGCAUAAUUAUUAAAUAAACAUCCAGGAAUCCA
rnacentral:sRNA from 1 species